rnacentral:rRNA from 1 species
UACGUAGGGGGCAAGCGUUGUCCGGAAUCAUUGGGCGUAAAGCGCGUGUAGGCGGUUCGGUAAGUCCGCUGUGAAAGUCGGGGGCUCAACCCUCGGAUGCCGGUGGAUACUGUCGGGCUUGAGUACGGAAGAGGCGAGUGGAAUUCCUGGUGUAGCGGUGAAAUGCGCAGAUAUCAGGAGGAACACCAAUUGCGAAGGCAGCUCGCUGGGACGUUACUGACGCUGAGGUGCGAAAGCGUGGGGAGCAAACAGG